ensembl:lncRNA
GCUCCGUAUCCAUGGGAGACAAUAUCUAUGUCUAUGGAGGGCUUCUAGACGGGGUCCCGACUGAUGACCUCAUGAUGUUCAACACAGUUCAGCAUGAGUUGUUAUGGAGUGUCUCUGAACUGGACCCCUGUCAAGACCACUGGGACUCUACCAUCUGCAAGAUACAACCACACGUUCGCCGCUGUCGGUGAGCUAGUGUUCAUGUUUGGGGGGUGCACGGAGGAUGGCUGCUACCACAAUGACGUCCACAUUCUCAACACAGAUACCCUUGUGUGGCAGAGGUACGAUGUGAAGGGGGAGUCACCACUGGCCUGCGCCGGCCAGACCCUCACGGCUCACCAUGACAAGGAUAUUUACUUGUUUGGCGGCAAAUGCAUCAGUCAGGAUGGAACAGUAACUUCAACAAAUGAGAUUAACAAAUUAAGCAUUGAUAUAUAUAUUUGGUGGCAAAAAUGAAGAACAAGAAUUCAAUGACCUGAAGGUGAUGAAAUUGAUAAACCCAUCAGAAAGACAGCCAGUGAUGAAGGAAAUUCUGUCUGAGUUUGGGCUUCAGGGAGUCAGUCAUGGGUGAGUGUUUUAGUAUUUCCGCUUGCUGUAGCUAUCCUAUUCAAACGUAUUAACAUAGUGCUCUCUUUCUCCAACGUUUGUUUCAGUUCGUGCUGUGUUUCAUUUUCUCCCGGCAGGCACUUACAGUUAUUCAAAUUAAGUUUCAGUUUUCACAAAGCUAUUUCACUCUUCUCUGCUCAGUUUCACACCAACUAAAGUCCCCAACGUAAAGUAUGAGCUCAGUAAGUCUCCGUCUUCGUUUUCUAUGAGGACGGGUGCAGCUGCCUCUGCACAGGUCACAGCCCACAGAGACUUCAACGCUGUCCGAUGCCAUGCCUUGGAAAUGAUCCAUAAAGCGUUCUCAAUGCUUGACCAAGAGUUCCAAAAGCUUGACGGAGAAAGGUCAGAGCUUGCUCAAGCUACCGCAGCUCUUAAGUAUGAGAGAGAAGCUCUCCAAGCCCAACACCUGCAACAAGAGGCAGAACUACAGGAAAUGUUGGAGAGACACAGAGCCCAGAAUGAGAACUGGCUACGUGCACGGGCAGAGGAGAAUGACAAGGAGAGGAAGGAGCUGUGUAAACUCAGGGAGGAUAUUGUGCAGGAGCAAGAAAGACUAAAAGAGGAGCAGGGAAACAUCCAGAAACGAAGCGAGCACCUCCUAUCCAUCAUGAAACAGUUCAAAGGCAUGUAAAUACAUGUCUCCAUAGCAACCAACUGGAGAAAACAGAUCUCCCGUGGAUAAAAUGGAAGAAUAGAUUUGACAUUCAUUUGUGUUUUCUGCUGGUGUGUUUGAAUAAUUAGCAUUGUGAGCAUAGGAGAAAUUUGCAUUUGUUGUCUUUUGCCAAAGAGUCAUCUUAUCUUAGAGAGGCGGUGAGGUCAGAGGAAUCAUGUUGACCUUGUCAUAAAAGGGAUAAUAUUUUAACCUGACUGGUACAAAAUCCUAGAGCAUACUAAGUGGGACUAUUAUGAAGGCCUAUGGAAAAUGUUGUAAAGGAAAGUAACAAACAAUCAAUCUGUUUUGUGUUGAAUAAUAAAGCAAUAGUGCAGCGCUCUUUGUAGUUUUGCACAUAUCUGCAGAGAUACACAUUCUGUUCCCUAAUCUUUUAAAUAAUCACACACACUUUUACAGUUUUACACUUUUCAGAUAAUGCAAUCAAGAGAUUUGAUUGUAUUGUAUUUUAUUCUAGCUAAAUCUGGGUAAACCAGAUAGAUUAUUAGGAAAUGGAUGUGUAUGGGAAUAGAUUACUCAAAUAAAAUGUGAAAAU